AUAGGGGAGCCGUAGGGAAACCGAGUCUUAACCGGGCGUUAAGUUGCAGGGUAUAGACCCGAAACCCGGUGAUCUAGCCAUGGGCAGGUUGAAGGUUGGGUAACACUAACUGGAGGACCGAACCGACUAAUGUUGAAAAAUUAGCGGAUGACCUGUGGCUGGGGGUGAAAGGCCAAUCAAACCGGGAGAUAGCUGGUUCUCCCCGAAAGCUAUUUAGGUAGCGCCUCGUGAAUUCAUCUCCGGGGGUAGAGCACUGUUUCGGCUAGGGGGCCAUCCCGGCUUACCAACCCGAUGCAAACUGCGAAUACCGGAGAAUGUUAUCACGGGAGACACACGGCGGGUGCUAACGUCCGUCGUGAAGAGGGAAACAACCCAGACCGCCAGCUAAGGUCCCAAAGUCAUGGUUAAGUGGGAAACGAUGUGGGAAGGCCCAGACAGCCAGGAUGUUGGCUUAGAAGCAGCCAUCAUUUAAAGAAAGCGUAAUAGCUCACUGGUCGAGUCGGCCUGCGCGGAAGAUGUAACGGGGCUAAACCAUGCACCGAAGCUGCGGCAGCGACGCUGAUGCGUUGUUGGGUAGGGGAGCGUUCUGUAAGCCUGUGAAGGUGGCCUGUGAGGGUUGCUGGAGGUAUCAGAAGUGCGAAUGCUGACAUAAGUAACGAUAAAGCGGGUGAAAAGCCCGCUCGCCGGAAGACCAAGGGUUCCUGUCCAACGUUAAUCGGGGCAGGGUGAGUCGACCCCUAAGGCGAGGCCGAAAGGCGUAGUCGAUGGGAAACGGGUUAAUAUUCCCGUACUUGGUGUUACUGCGAAGGGGGGACGGAGAAGGCUAUGUUGGCCGGGCGACGGUUGUCCCGGUUUAAGCGUGUAGGUGUGUGUUCCAGGUAAAUCCGGUUCACUUUAACACUGAGGCGUGAUGACGAGGCACUACGGUGCUGAAGCAACAAAUGCCCUGCUUCCAGGAAAAGCCUCUAAGCAUCAGGUAACAUCAAAUCGUACCCCAAACCGACACAGGUGGUCAGGUAGAGAAUACCAAGGCGCUUGAGAGAACUCGGGUGAAGGAACUAGGCAAAAUGGUGCCGUAACUUCGGGAGAAGGCACGCUGACACGUAGGUGAAGUGAUUUACUCAUGGAGCUGAAGUCAGUCGAAGAUACCAGCUGGCUGCAACUGUUUAUUAAAAACACAGCACUGUGCAAACACGAAAGUGGACGUAUACGGUGUGACGCCUGCCCGGUGCCGGAAGGUUAAUUGAUGGGGUCAGCGCAAGCGAAGCUCCUGAUCGAAGCCCCGGUAAACGGCGGCCGUAACUAUAACGGUCCUAAGGUAGCGAAAUUCCUUGUCGGGUAAGUUCCGACCUGCACGAAUGGCGUAAUGAUGGCCAGGCUGUCUCCACCCGAGACUCAGUGAAAUUGAACUCGCUGUGAAGAUGCAGUGUACCCGCGGCAAGACGGAAAGACCCCGUGAACCUUUACUAUAGCUUGACACUGAACAUUGAGCCUUGAUGUGUAGGAUAGGUGGGAGGCUUUGAAGCGUGGACGCCAGUCUGCAUGGAGCCGGCCUUGAAAUACCACCCUUUAAUGUUUGAUGUUCUAACGUGGACCCGUGAUCCGGGUUGCGGACAGUGUCUGGUGGGUAGUUUGACUGGGGCGGUCUCCUCCUAAAGAGUAACGGAGGAGCACGAAGGUUGGCUAAUCCUGGUCGGACAUCAGGAGGUUAGUGCAAUGGCAUAAGCCAGCUUGACUGCGAGCGUGACGGCGCGAGCAGGUGCGAAAGCAGGUCAUAGUGAUCCGGUGGUUCUGAAUGGAAGGGCCAUCGCUCAACGGAUAAAAGGUACUCCGGGGAUAACAGGCUGAUACCGCCCAAGAGUUCAUAUCGACGGCGGUGUUUGGCACCUCGAUGUCGGCUCAUCACAUCCUGGGGCUGAAGUAGGUCCCAAGGGUAUGGCUGUUCGCCAUUUAAAGUGGUACGCGAGCUGGGUUUAGAACGUCGUGAGACAGUUCGGUCCCUAUCUGCCGUGGGCGCUGGAGAACUGAGGGGGGCUGCUCCUAGUACGAGAGGACCGGAGUGGACGCAUCACUGGUGUUCGGGUUGUCAUGCCAAUGGCACUGCCCGGUAGCUAAAUGCGGAAGAGAUAAGUGCUGAAAGCAUCUAAGCACGAAACUUGCCCCGAGAUGAGUUCUCCCUGAGACUUAGAGUCUCCUGAAGGAACGUUGAAGACGACGACGUUGAUAGGCCGGGUGUGUAAGCGCAGCGAUGCGUUGAGCUAACCGGUACUAAUGAACCGUGAGGCUUAACCUUACAACGCCGAAGAUGUUUUGGCGGAUGAGAGAC
rnacentral:rRNA from 1 species